rnacentral:rRNA from 1 species
CCCUUAGAUGUUCUGGGCAGCACGCGCGCUACAAUGGUCUUCGCAAACGGAUGCAUUCUCGAAGGAGAAUGCCAAUCUUGGAAUCUAUGCCUUGGUCGGGACAGUUGCUUGCAAUUUUUCGACUCGAACCAGGAAUUCCUUGUAAUCGUGAUUCAUCACAUCACGAUGAAUACGUCCCCGCCCUUUGUACACACCGCCCGUCGCUACUACCGAUUGGAUGGUUUAGCGAGAACUUUGGACCGGAGCUCGGGUGGUCAGCAAUGGCCGCCCGAGACAUACUGGGAAAUCGCUCCAGCUUGAUCAUCUAGAGGAAGUAAAAGUCGUAACA